rnacentral:misc_RNA from 1 species
UUAACUAUUACAUAGUACUCAGACGGCGCCGACAUUCAGAGUUUACGGGGCUUCUGGCGGGCACGCGCCGGCCGGGGCCGGCGGCCCGCCAAAGCAACACGGUAGCAAUCACAGUGGGUGGGAGAUCUACCCGUUAGGGCGAGAACUCUGUAAUGAUCCCUCCGCAGGUUCACCUACGGAGA